rnacentral:rRNA from 1 species
UGGGGAAUUGUUCGCAAUGGGCGCAAGCCUGACGACGCAACGCCGCGUGGGGGAUGAAGGUCUUCGGAUUGUAAACCCCUGUCGAGCGGGACGAAUGGCUCACGAGCUAAUCAUCGUGAGAAUGACGGUACCGCUAAAGGAAGCCACGGCUAACUCUGUGCCAGCAGCCGCGGUAAUACAGAGGUGGCAAGCGUUGUUCGGAAUUACUGGGCGUAAAGGGCGCGUAGGCGGCCUCUUUAGUCAGACGUGAAAUCCCCCGGCUUAACCUGGGAACUGCGUCUGAUACUGGGGGGCUAGAGUUCGGGAGAGGGAUGUAGAAUUCCAGGUGUAGCGGUGAAAUGCGUAGAUAUCUGGAGGAAUACCGGUGGCGAAGGCGGCAUCCUGGACCGAAACUGACGCUGAGGCGCGAAAGCUAGGGGAGCAAACGG